rnacentral:rRNA from 1 species
AACGAACGCUGGCGGCAGGCCUAACACAUGCAAGUCGAGCGAAGCCUUCGGGCUUAGCGGCGGACGGGUGAGUAACGCGUGGGAACGUGCCCUUUGGUACGGAAUAGCCCCGGGAAACUGGGAGUAAUACCGUAUGUGCCCUUCGGGGGAAAGAUUUAUCGCCAAAGGAUCGGCCCGCGUUGGAUUAGGUAGUUGGUGGGGUAAUGGCCUACCAAGCCGACGAUCCAUAGCUGGUUUGAGAGGAUGAUCAGCCACACUGGGACUGAGACACGGCCCAGACUCCUACGGGAGGCAGCAGUGGGGAAUCUUAGACAAUGGGGGAAACCCUGAUCUAGCCAUGCCGCGUGAUCGAUGAAGGCCUUAGGGUUGUAAAGAUCUUUCAGUGGGGAAGAUAAUGACUGUACCCACAGAAGAAGCCCCGGCUAACUCCGUGCCAGCCGCCGCGGUAAAAA